ACGAACGCUGGCGGCGUGCUUCACACAUGCCAGUCGAACGGAAAGGCCCUGCUUUUGUGGGGUGCUCGAGUGGCGAACGGGUGAGUAACACGUGAGUAACCUGCCCUUGACUUUGGGAUAACUUCAGGAAACUGGGGCUAAUACCGGAUAGGAGCUCCUGCUGCAUGGUGGGGGUUGGAAGGUUUCGGCGGUUGGGGAUGGACUCGCGGCUUAUCAGCUUGUUGGUGGGGUAGUGGCUUACCAAGGCUUUGACGGGUAGCCGGCCUGAGAGGGUGACCGGCCACAUUGGGACUGAGAUACGGCCCAGACUCCUACGGGAGGCAGCAGUGGGGAAUAUUGCACAAUGGGCGGAAGCCUGAUGCAGCAACGCCGCGUGCGGGAUGACGGCCUUCGGGUUGUAAACCGCUUUCGCCUGUGACGAAGCGUGAGUGACGGUAAUGGGUAAAGAAGCACCGGCUAACUACGUG
rnacentral:rRNA from 1 species